rnacentral:rRNA from 1 species
AUUGAACGCUGGCGGCAGGCCUAACACAUGCAAGUCGAGCGGAUGAAGGGAGCUUGCUCCUGGAUUCAGCGGCGGACGGGUGAGUAAUGCCUAGGAAUCUGCCUGGUCGUGGGGGAUAACGUCCGGAAACGGGCGCUAAUACCGCAUACGUCCUGAUGGAGAAAGUGGGGGAUCUUCGGACCUCACGCUAUCAGAUGAGCCUAGGUCGGAUUAGCUAGUUGGUGGGGUAAAGGCCUACCAAGGCGACGAUCCGUAACUGGUCUGAGAGGAUGAUCAGUCACACUGGAACUGAGACACGGUCCAGACUCCUACGGGAGGCAGCAGUGGGGAAUAUUGGACAAUGGGCGAAAGCCUGAUCCAGCCAUGCCGCGUGUGUGAAGAAGGUCUUCGGAUUGUAAAGCACUGUAAGUUGGGAGGAAGGGCAGUAAGUUAAUACCUUGCUAUUUUGACGUUACCAACAGAAUAAGCACCGGCUAACUUCGUG